rnacentral:rRNA from 1 species
CCUACGGGAGGCAGCAGUGAGGAAUAUUGGUCAAUGGACGAGAGUCUGAACCAGCCAAGUAGCGUGAAGGAUGACUGCCCUAUGGGUUGUAAGCUUCUUUUAUAAAGGAAUAAAACGAGGCACGUGUGCCUUUUUGCAUGUACUUUAUGAAUAAGGAUCGGCUAACUCCGUGCCAGCAGCCGCGGUAAUACGGAGGAUACGAGCGUUAUCCGGAUUUAUUGGGUUUAAAGGGAGCGUAGAUGGGUUGUUAAGUCAGUUGUGAAAGCUUGCGGCUCAACCGUAAAAUUGCAAUUGAUACUGGCAGUCUAGAGUACAGUUGAGGUAGGCAGAAUUCGUGGUGUAGCGGUGAAAUGCUUAGAUAUCACGAAGAACCCCGAUUGCGAAGGCAGCUUACUAAACUGUGACUGACAUUGAUGCUCGAAAGUGUGGGUAUCAAACAGGAUUAGAUACCCCGGUAGUC